rnacentral:rRNA from 1 species
GCUACGGGUGGCUGCAGUGAGGAAUAUUGGUCAAUGGACGCAAGUCUGAACCAGCCAUGCCGCGUGCAGGAAGACGGCUCUAUGAGUUGUAAACUGCUUUUGUAAGAGGGUAAACGCAGAUACGCGUACCUGUCUGAAAGUAUCGUACGAAUAAGGAUCGGCUAACUCCGUGCCAGCAGCCGCGGUAAUACGGAGGAUUCAAGCGUUAUCCGGAUUUAUUGGGUUGAAAGGGGGCGUAGGCGGGCGGUUAAGUUAGAGGUGAAAUCCCGCGGCUCAACUUCGGAAUUGCCUCUGAUACUGGUCGGCUAGAGCGUAGUUGCGGUAGGCGGAAUGUAUGUUGUAGCGGUGAAAUGCUU